AUUGAACGCUGGCGGCAUGCCUUACACAUGCAAGUCGAACGGCAGCGGGGGAGAAGCUUGCUUUUCCUGCCGGCGAGUGGCGAACGGGUGAGUAAUACAUCGGAACGUGCCCUGUAGUGGGGGAUAACUAGUCGAAAGAGUAGCUAAUACCGCAUACGCCCUACGGGGGAAAGGGGGGGAUCGCAAGACCUCUCACUAUUAGAGCGGCCGAUAUCGGAUUAGCUAGUUGGUGAGGUAAAGGCUCACCAAGGCGACGAUCCGUAGCUGGUUUGAGAGGACGACCAGCCACACUGGGACUGAGACACGGCCCAGACUCCUACGGGAGGCAGCAGUGGGGAAUUUUGGACAAUGGGGGCAACCCUGAUCCAGCCAUUCCGCGUGUGCGAUGAAGGCCUUCGGGUUGUAAAGCACUUUUGGCAGGAAAGAAAUCGCACGGGAUAACACCCCGUGUGGAUGACGGUACCUGCAGAAUAAGCACCGGCUAACUACGUGCCAGCAGCCGCAGUAA
rnacentral:rRNA from 1 species